rnacentral:tRNA from 2 species
ACUAUUUUGGCAGAUAAGUGCAGUGGAUUUAGAAUCUAUAAAUAUAGUAGAUAUUCUAUAAAUAGUA